AUAAUACUCCCUCCGUCCAGAAAUACUCGUCAUCAAAAUGGAUAAAAAGAGAUGUAUCUAGAACUAAAAUACAUCUAGAUACAUCCCCUUUUAUCUAUUUUGAUGACAAGUAUUUCCGGACGGAGGGAGUAGAUG
rnacentral:pre_miRNA from 1 species